UUCCGUUUGCACAUUGUUUGAUGCAUCUGUUCCACUAUCUUCUUCAAACUAGACAAGAAAAAAACUACAAGCAUAUUUCCAAGGAUUGACUAACAAGCAUAUAUAAGUAAAUGGACAUUUGAUUUUCUUCUCCAGAAAUGAUUAUAGAGAAAAUAGUUGUUCACUCCACAAAUAGCAGGUGAUUAUCUACAGCAUUUUUUAGUCGAACUUCAUAUGUAAACUUCAUAACCUUAGUCUGGGAAGCAAUUCAGCUCUAACUCACAGUUUCUAUUGAAGUUCAUCUGAACUUCAAAUUUAUGACCCUAAGAACGCAUCGACCUUAGCAUUUGUUCUCCUUGACAAAAACUUCAUGCAAAUGGGAGGUUUUACUCCUGCUAGAGCAAGUAUCGAACUAGGCAAAGUCCAUAUCCCGUCCCCACAAAUCAAACCAGAAGCCACUGCUGGCCCAAAAGCAUCUGCCUUUGCCUUGUCAAUCUUUUCCCAGAUAAAUAGAAUCAAGCUUCCCACACACAUGUCGAUGGCAAAGUAUGAGCCAAUAUAGAAAGGUAUAGCCAUUGCCAUUGGAUUGGGAAUGAACCUAGCCCGUUUCUUACCCAACACAUCCUUGAUCAAAUUUAUCAGAAUAGCUGCACCGAAGAACCAAUAACAAAGAUAGAGACAAUUCUUUGGUAGAGACGAGAAUCCUUCUACCCCCAAUAUAGCCAUGUUUCGAAAUACAGUAGCAUAAGGAGCAGGGUAUUGACUUCCAGGAGUCCCCAGAUCCUUGAAGGCCUUAAAAAAAAGCCAAAAUACACACGGGGAAAUCAUGCAACCCAUUGCAGUGCCAAUUAGUUGGCUCACAAACAUCGAACGUGGUGAAGAAAGGGUCAAAUAACCAGUCUUGAAAUCUUGAGAUAGGUCAGAGGCUGUGGAGACAAUAUUCAUCAUGACUCCACAGGCCGCUAGUCCUGCAAGAACUCCACCAUGAGAGCCACCAGCCCAUGCCCCAAUUACAAAAAUUGCAAGCGUCCCAUAGGUGGAAGCAAGGGACCAAUCAGUGAGUCCACAACCAUAAGCAUUACAGAAUGCAAGGGCUGGGGCAAAGAUGUAGAUAACCAAUAUGUAAUACCAUUUCAGUUCAGGAAAUAUAUGCGGAACGGUGGUUGUAGAAAUGGCAGCAAUUGUGACAUAACCUGCAACAGCAAACCAUGUUGGAAUUUGAUCUUUGAGAAAGAGGUGGGUGCGACGUUGCUCAUCAUAGGAGAUCCUGGAUGUCUCGGGAGAGGAACGGUCAGCAACAGGCAGAGCACCAGUUGCAUCUCUCCCACGAAGUUGAAAAAACAAUGCAGCGAGUGUUCGGCUUAGAACCUUGAAGAAGUUGUACAGACCGUCACCCAAGACCAAGGCAGUGGCAAUAAAUACCUGUGUUCAAUGCAUAAGCGUUGGUAUGAAAGAAAAGGCUUCAAGAAAAUGUUAAAAAUCAUGUAAUGGGCAUUCUUGUCACCUUAACCUUGUUAGAAAACUUACCUUGUAACCUUGGAGGCCAUGUAAGCUGCCUGGUUUGAGGUCUGCUGGAUACCAGUCACCCUUUUUUGUAUCUAUGAGAGGCCACAUGAGACCCCAGGAAAGAAUUCCUCCAAGCAAUACUGAUAUGUUUAUGAUAUAUGGGCAAAUCAUUCCAACUCCAACAUAUGUUGCUGAGAAAUCAAAGAAAAAUCUGCACAUGUAACAAGAACAUUAUUAGUCAAAGAUACCACAACGAAUUUGAAACAGAAUGCCAUAAUAAAUGGAACUACAUUCAACAAGAAGAGAGGAUUUUGGAAGAUUGAGUAAUGCUUUUACUUGUUUUCAUGUGCUUUAAGACCAAGUGAGGGGAACUCAGCGAAUCCACAACCAUCUCCUGCAGUGUAGAACCAUUGAAAGAAACCCCACAAGAAGCUGAAUGAGAAGAACUUGCCCAACACUCUCACUUGUUUCCUGUAACAGUAGAAUAACAAAGUUCGAUACUCUUUCAUGUCAAAUGAUCAUCCAUAUAAGUGCAUGAGGUCUCAUAAUGCCUUACUUUGCUAGCUUGGCUCCUGCAGGAGUGUGGAAGCUGUUGAUGAGAUGGGCAGUUGCAGUGCCACUUGGAUAUGUCAAUUUGAAGUCUAUAAUCAUGACCUGGAAAUAACCAGGGUAACAAUGAGGAUUAGUUUUUGGCAAAAUCAAUACACUAGGCAAAAAUGUAAAAUGCAGAGAAAAGUUUUAUAUUUCCUAUAAUCAUAUAAAGAAAUUGAAUGCUGAUAUAGGUUGUAAAGUCUACCUUUCGAAGAGGCACCGCCGAAAAGAGUCCAAGAAAGCUAACAACAAACAAAAAGCCAAUCAUCCAAGACAGAGAUGGAUUUUUAAAGGCAUCACUAUCUUCAGUUAAUUGUUUGGCCACGGUUUCACUCAUUCCAAACAGAUAACUCCCAAAGCCUCCUAUUAUAAGGAAACAAGGAAAAAAUUAUAGAAUGGAAACCAUUGGUACAAAAAUCAACAAGUUUAAUAUCAUCAUAAGCAUAAUCACAAAUUAGCCGUUUCAUUACAAUAAUUAAUUCAGUUUCGAAACAAGUUUGGCAAGUAAUCAGGCUUUUCUUGACUAUUUGGAUAAGUUAGAAACAUAAUGUAUUCAUCUUGACAUUAUGUUAAUGAUUCACAGUUAAAGAAAAGGUUUGAUUAAUAACUCAAGCUCACAACUAGCAUUCUAGAAACAGAUAUUAUUCACAUUUUCCUUUCUUUUACUAAUGGAGAAGACUUCUUUUUCCACAAAUCAGAAUAUUGUUAUAAGACUUCCUGACAUAAAUCUGAACUUAGUAAGUCAUCCAUAUCCAGCGCAUAUGAAUUGAACUGUCAAAAAAGUAUCUGUCAAGUGACAUACCAGCUGCACCCCUAACAUUAUCACACUCCAGGAGACAGAGAUAGAUUUGUUCAUGUCUCUAAUGGUAAGUUCAAGUGUUGAUUAGUUUAGCAAAACUUCACAAGUGGUAGUCAUAAAGCCUCAAUUUUGAUUUGUCUCUCAAAGACUUUAGGCAGUAAGAGAUUCUUUGUCUUCAAGGAUCAUGCAAAUCUACUCCCAUCUGAGAUAAAAGGGAUCCAGAGAGAGAAAAAUGGUUGCCUUAUCAUGUAAUCUAGCAAUUAGAAGAUGGAAAUCUUGACAUUGAAUUUUAGUAACUACUGUAAGUUUGCAACCUUUAAGAACAGAAACAAAACCAAAUGCACAGAAAUAUUAAUAUCUUGAUCAAAGAAACCUAGAUAUCUCCUCAACUUCGAAAGAAAAGAGAAAGAAAAUUGAAUUUCAAAAUAAUUAAGAAAGAUGAAAUGAAAAUUAAUGGCAGUAAACAGUAUAGAAAGUAUACCACUAAAGGCAAUGCCAGAGGAGGCAACCACGCAAGUCUGUAUUACAGUGUUCUCUUGCCUCGUAAAGGGUUGCUUCAAAAGUCCAGACUUUUCAAGAAACUUUGUCCAGGUCUUGAUAAAAAAGAAGCCCAGAAGGCCAGCAGAGACAUUGAGGGAAGGUAUGAUACCAGUUGUAAGAUUGAGCUUCAUUACUAUGACGCAGAACAAAAUGCUCAACACGAAGCUCACCACAAGGGCCCUCAGUGUCAGCUGAUUCCUCCAUGAUGGCACUUCUUGGUUCUCAAAUAUUCUUUCCACUGACAACUCUUCUUCUUGUUCCUCUUUCUUGUCCUUCUUUCUGUGACCAUGAUCAUCCUCCAAAUCAUGAUCAUUCUCUACCUUGGUGUCGUCUCUUUCAUUACGUUCCAUUUUAUUUUCUUAAAAGAAUGAUUCUUUAUGGAGACGAAGAGAGUUGGGAGCGUGUUUAAUAAGUGGUUGUGAUUAUUGCUCAACACAUCACAAGCAAAUUGAAUACGAUGAAUAUGAGGAGUUGUUAAAAGUUAAAACGGGUUGUUGUAGUGAGUUUAACCUGUCUGUUUUUUUGGGUUAUUUUUUUUAAUUUUAUUUAAUAUUUUUGAAUUAUUUUAAUAUAUUAAUAUUAAAAAUAAAUUUUAAAAUAUAAAAAAUAUAUUAUUUUGAUAGUUUUUAGCAAAAAUUAUUUUAAAAAACAUCUAUUAUUAUAUUUUUAAACACUCUUUAAAAUAACAAAAUGACUCUAAAUGACAUGUGUUUGAGUUAAGUUUGUAAUUUUUAUAUAUGUGAUCUGUAGGUACUUUUAAAGAAGUAGAUUAGAAAUAUAGUAGAAAUUAUUUUUAAAAUAAUCUCAAAAUAUUAUUUUAAUAUUUUUUUAAAUUAAAAAUAGAAAUUAUUUUCAAAACAAUUUGAAAAUAAAAAUAUUAAUUUUAAAAAGGAAUGUUUUAAACAAGUUACCAAAUGGCCACUGAAUCCAAUGCCAAAAGCUUCUAUUUCUAAUUUGUGGAAGACGAGAAGUCAAUAGUCAAUUUCCAAAAAAUUAAAAAAAAAAUAAAGGGAAAAUAAAAGAUCUGUGAAUGUCCAUUGUCCAAAGUUUGUGGGAAAAAAAAUGAUAUAAGAAAUAAAGAAAAUGAUAUUAAAUUACUUAAAGAAGCUAGACUAGAAUAUAGUAGAAUUUAUUUUUAAAUCAAUUUAAAAACACUAUUUUAAUAGUUUUUAAAUUAAAAAUAAUUUAAAAAAUAAUUAUUACUAAACUCCCAAAAACCUUUAAAACAAUAAUCAUGCAUAUGAUAUUUUUCAGCUUCUUUUCAUAUUCUUAGGACAAGCCUUCAACAUAUUUGUUACAAGUCUCAUAUUCGCUGAAGCUUUUAUCGUCUUCCUCGACGCAUCUGAUAUUUUUUCCAUCUUUUUUUUUCUCGUGUUGGAUAACUAAGUCUGGCAUGGUUUUAUUGUGAGACUGAUAAUAACACAGAUGCACAUUGGACCACCUGAUAUGAUCAUAGCUAGCAAAAUGAGCAAACCUGAUACCAAAUAUAGCAACUGAUCAUAACAGCUCACAAAGGGUACUGUAAUUUUCACUUUUCACAUUGCUUGAUGCAUCUGUUCUACUAUCUUCUUCAAACUAGACAAGAAAAAAAACUACAAGCAUAUAUAUAUAUAUAUAUAUAAGUAAAUGGACAUUUGAUUUUCUUCUCCAGAAAUGAUUACAGAGAAAAUAGUUGUUGCCUUGUUGGCUCCACGGAAUAGCAGGUGAUUAUCCACAGCAUUUUUGAGUCGAACUUCACAUGUAAACUUCAUAACCUUAGUGUAGGAAGCAAUUCAGCUUUACUUCACAGUUUCUAUUCAAGUUGAUCUGAACUUCAACUUUAUGACCCUAAGAACGCAUCGACCUUAGCAUUUGUUCUCCUUGACAAAAACUUCAUGCAAAUGGGAGGUUUUACUCCUACUAGAGCAAGUAUCGCACUAGGCAAAGUCCAUAUCCCAUCCCCGCAAAUCAAACCAGAAGCCACUGCUGGCCCAAAAGCAUCUGCCUUUGCCUUGUCAAUCUUUUCCCAGAUAAAUAGAAUCAAGCUUCCCACACACAUGUCGAUGGCAAAGUAUGAGCCAAUAUAGAACGGUAUAGCCAUCGCCAUUGGAUUGGGAAUGAACCUGGCCCAUUUCUUACCCAAAGCAUCCUUAAUUAAAUUUAUCAGAAUAGCUGCACCGAAGAACCCAUAACAAAGAUAGAGGCAAUUCUUUGGUAGAGACGAGAAUCCGUCUACCCCCAAUAUAGCCAUGUUUCGAUAUACAGUAGCAUAAGGAGCAGGGUACUGACUUCCAGGAGUCCCCAGAUCCUUGAAGGCCUUGAAAAACAGCCAAAAGACACAAGGUGAAAUAAUGCAACCCAUUGCAGUGCCAAUUAGUUGGCUCACAAACAUGGACCGAGGUGAAGAAAGGGUCAAAUAACCAGUCUUGAAAUCUUGAGAUAGGUCAGAGGCUGUGGAGACAAUAUUCAUCAUGACUCCACAGGCCGCUAGUCCUGCAAGAACUCCACCAUGAGAGGCACCAGCCCAUGCCCCAAUUACAAAAAUUGCGAGCUUCCCAUAG
rnacentral:lncRNA from 1 species